rnacentral:rRNA from 1 species
UACGAAGGAUGCGAGCGUUGUCCGGAGUUACUGGGCGUAAAGGGCAUGCAGGCGGUCCGACGCGUUUUGUGUGACAGCGGGUGGCUUAACUACCCGAGUGGUCGAAAGACGGUUUGACUUGAGGACGCGAGAGGGACACGGAAUUCCGGGUGGAGUGGUGAAAUGCGUAGAGAUCCGGAGGAACACCGAAGGCGAAGGCAGUGUCCUGGCGCGUAACUGACGCUGAGGUGCGAAAGCCAGGGGAGCGAACGGG